rfam:Rattus norvegicus chromosome 5, whole genome shotgun sequence.
GGGGAUUUAGCUCAGUGGUAGAGCGCUUGCCUAGGAUGCGCAAGGCCCUGGGUUCGGUCCCCAGCUCCG